rnacentral:rRNA from 1 species
UGAACCGCAGGUUAAAACAUAAAAGGGUGGUUUGGAUAACAAUAAAAGAAGGGCCCCGGGGCCAUUAGGUAGUUGGGGAGGUAACGGCUUCACCAAGGCCAAGGAUGGGUAGCCGGCCUGGAGAGGUGGAUCGCCCAACCUUGGGAUUGAGACACGGGCCCAGACUUCUUAGGGGAGGCAGCAGUAGGGAAUCUUCCGCAAUGGAAGAAAUUCUGACGGAGCAACGCCGCGUGAGUGAUGAAGGUUUUCGGAUCGUAAAGCUCUGUUGUUAGGGAAGAACAAGUACCGUUCGAAUAGGGCGGUACCUUGACGGUACCUAACCAGAAAGCCACGGCUAACUACGUGCCAGCAGCCGCGGUAAUACGUAGGUGGCAAGCGUUGUCCGGAAUUAUUGGGCGUAAAGGGCUCGCAGGCGGUUCCUUAAGUCUGAUGUGAAAGCCCCCGGCUCAACCGGGGAGGGUCAUUGGAAACUGGGGAACUUGAGUGCAGAAGAGGAGAGUGGAAUUCCACGUGUAGCGGUGAAAUGCGUAGAGAUGUGGAGGAACACCAGUGGCGAAGGCGACUCUCUGGUCUGUAACUGACGCUGAGGAGCGAAAGCGUGGGGAGCGAACAGGAUUAGAUACCCUGGUAGUCCACGCCGUAAACGAUGAGUGCUAAGUGUUAGGGGGUUUCCGCCCCUUAGUGCUGCAGCUAACGCAUUAAGCACUCCGCCUGGGGAGUACGGUCGCAAGACUGAAACUCAAAGGAAUUGACGGGGGCCCGCACAAGCGGUGGAGCAUGUGGUUUAAUUCGAAGCAACGCGAAGAACCUUACCAGGUCUUGACAUCCUCUGACAAUCCUAGAGAUAGGACGUCCCCUUCGGGGGCAGAGUGACAGGUGGUGCAUGGUUGUCGUCAGCUCGUGUCGUGAGAUGUUGGGUUAAGUCCCGCAACGAGCGCAACCCUUGAUCUUAGUUGCCAGCAUUCAGUUGGGCACUCUAAGGUGACUGCCGGUGACAAACCGGAGGAAGGUGGGGAUGACGUCAAAUCAUCAUGCCCCUUAUGACCUGGGCUACACACGUGCUACAAUGGACAGAACAAAGGGCAGCGAAACCGCGAGGUUAAGCCAAUCCCACAAAUCUGUUCUCAGUUCGGAUCGCAGUCUGCAACUCGACUGCGUGAAGCUGGAAUCGCUAGUAAUCGCGGAUCAGCAUGCCGCGCUGAA